rnacentral:rRNA from 1 species
UAGGGAAUCUUCCACAAUGGACGAAAGUCUGAUGGAGCAACGCCGCGUGAGUGAAGAAGGGUUUCGGCUCGUAAAACUCUGUUGUUAAAGAAGAACAUAUCUGAGAGUAACUGUUCAGGUAUUGACGGUAUUUAACCAGAAAGCCGCGGCUAACUACGUGCCAGG